GACGACAUCAUUCCAUUAGUGGUCAGUGCGCGAGUUGAUUCAACAUGCACAAGUCAGGAGCCCUGAAAAAAAAAGAAAGGCGAAAAAGAGAGGAAGAAGCCGAAAGCCUGAGGGGAUCUCUUUAUAAAUAUUUAUAAAUAUUUCAGAAAAGACUCUGAUGCUGCAGCCGGUACCAGUAAAGGCAGCUGUGCAGCACAGCCAGUUGCCUUAUUAGGUCCUCCACAGUCGCCCCAUCAGUCCCUGGCAGUCUGGUCCCUGGAGCAGCUGGCCCUGGCAAAAGUUAUUCCUUCACUGUUGACCCCUGACUGACCCUCGGCACACAAAUCCCUGGAUCACCUGCCACUGGAUCACCUGCCCUGAAUCACCUGCCCCUGGCAAUGUGGCCUCUUGAUUGCUCUCUGUGUCUCCUGUGAUGUCCUUUUCAACGCUCUUGAAAUCCACCUAAAUUUCUCCCUCAAUCUCUGUAACAAUUACAAGGUAAUGUUGAUGCUAUAUGUAUUUUGCCUUUGCAUUUGCAACUACUGUCAUCUCCAAUGUAAGAAAAUGAAUUAAAGCAAAACAUUUCUGUAAUGUGAAUUAAAUCAUCUGCCACAAUCAGAAACCAAUACAAUUUAUAAAUGGAUCUACCGGCAAUUGUUAAUUGGGUAAAAAUGUGUCGAUUAUCUACAUUGUGUGCAAAUCCUCAGAGAAUCCCUGCCUUCUGGUUGUUUUUUUAAACUGAAUGUGCAAACAUGAAUUAUGUAAUCUCAUUAGGAGUGUAGUCUAUCCUAGAAUUACAUGAAAUGGGGAAUAUUGUAAGCUGCAUGGAUCAUACCGAAGUUUAAUUUGGCGCAAUAUGGGUGGUCCGUUGCACUUGGUUCC
ensembl:lncRNA